rnacentral:rRNA from 1 species
GACGAACGCUGGCGGCGUGCUUAACACAUGCCAGUCGAACGGAAAGGCCCUGCUUUUGUGGGGUGCUCGAGUGGCGAACGGGUGAGUAACACGUGAGUAACCUGCCCUUGACUUUGGGAUAACUUCAGGAAACUGGGGCUAAUACCGGAUAGGAGCUCCUGCUGCAUGGUGGGGGUUGGAAAGUUUCGGCGGUUGGGGCUGGACUCGCGGCUUAUCAGCUUGUUGGUGGGGUAGUGGCUUACCAAGGCUGUGACGGGUAGCCGGCCUGAGAGGGGGACCGGCGACAAGGCGACUGAGGUACGGCGCAGACGCGUACGGGAGGCAGCAGGGGGGAGUAUUGCACAAUGAUCGGAAGCGUGAGGCGGCGACGCUGCGAGCGGGAUGACGGCCUUCUGGGUGUAAACCGCUGUCGCCUGUGACGAAGCGGGAGUGACGGUAAUGGGUAAAGAAGCACCGGCUAACUACGUG